GAGAAGUUAAGAAGACCUGCUAACUCUUCAAUCUGGCAAAACACCAGCCCUCUCUUCUAUCAAAAG
rnacentral:tRNA from 1 species